GACGAACGCUGGCGGCGUGCUUAACACAUGCAAGUCGAACGGAAAGGCCCUUCGGGGUACUCGCGUGGCGAACGGGCGGGUAACACGUGGGUGAUCUGCCCUGCACUCUGUGAUAAGCCUGGGACACUGGGUCUAAUACCGAAUAGCACCACGCUCUUCAUGGUGUGUGGUGGAAAGCCUUUGCGGUGUGGCAUGUGCCCGCGGCAUAUCAGCUCGUUGGUGGGGUACUGGACUACCAAGGCGACGACGGGUAGCCGGCCUGGGAGGGAGACCGGCCACAGUGGGACACGGAUACGGCCAGGACGCAUUCGGGAGGAAGGAGCGGAGAAUAGAGGACAAAGGGCGCAAGCAUGAAGGAGGGACGCCGCGUGGGGGAUGACGGCUUUCGGGUUGGAAACCACUUUUAAGAGGGACGACGCGUAAGGGACGGAACCAAUAGAAGAAGCACCGGCAACUUAGGU
rnacentral:rRNA from 1 species